AAUACCUUUCAAGGAACGUUUAUCUUCUUAUUCUACUGUAUAUACAAGAAAGACACCAGAGACGUCAUUUGCAAGUGUUUUUGUAAACAAAAGAAAGAGAAAGCCAGUAGUAAAGUUGUAAAAACCAAUAAAAGUUCAGGUUCUGGUAAUGGAACAGCAGAAACGAACACAUAAAUAAAAAUGUUAAAAUAAACAUCUGUGAAUUGACAGCAAAACAUUGAUGAAAAUAAUAACGAAGAUAAUCCACAAAAUAUUAUCACCUGUUUUGGAUUAUAUGAAUUUAAAUAUUAAGGUUAUAUAAAGAUUCGAGAAUUAACAUUCCCCUUAACCAUCAAAUCAUGAAUGGAUCAACUGAAAGAAAUGACAAAAUUAUAUAAAGUAGAAAAACCUAGCGCAAAUCCCGCAGGUUUCGCUACUGAACAUAAUUACAUAUAAACAACUUUUUAAAUUCAUACUGUUCCUUCCAAAAAUACAAUCCGUUUUAGCAUAAGAGGUCCAGUUAUUAAAAAGGCCCAAAAUAUAUUUUCUUUCAUUAAUAACUAUUGUUUAAAUUAAAACACACAUAGGCACAUAAUUAAUGAAAACAAUUUAUUCAGAUUUUACCGGGUUUAUAAUAUCAUUUAUUUUACUUUCUAUCACUUACUUCCCUAUCUACGAUACCUAUUGCAUCUUGGAGUAAAAUUAUAUUUUCUGGGGCUAAAUAUUUAAAUAAAGAUAAUUCUGUUUAUUUUAUAUAAACAGAAAAUAUUAUUGUCAGUAAAAUGUUUCUCCUUCCAGAUGAAGUUUCUGGAGUAUGACACCAAAAGUAGGGUGGAAGGUAUCUAUAUAUAUAAAAAUGAGAAUGUGUGUCUGUCUGUCAGUCUGUCUGUUUGUCUGUCUGUGUGUGUGAAUCCCUAAAACUCGAGAACUACGCAACCAAUUUCAUUCAAAUUUUACAGAUGCCUUACUUAGGGUUCCAGUUGUGUUUUAGUCAAAAACUUUUUUUAACUUCUUGCAGAGUUCGAGCCCACGGCAACAUAAUAUCUCCUCCACUAUUUAAGUAUUACGUGUCAAGAGUGAAACAAAAACACUCAUGUCAAAUACUUUCACUUUAAAAAUGAAACUAUUCCACUAACUGAAACAAUCACAUUUCGAUACUGUAAUGACAGAUACUUUCAGAGAGAGAGAGAGAAAGAGAGAAAGAGAGAGAGAGAGAGAGAA